ensembl:lncRNA
UUAGGCCAAGUGACUCAAGGACUGCAAACAAGAAGGUUCCACCAGGCUGCCUAGAUCCGAGAACCACAGAAGAACAUCUUUAAAUGUGCAUAGUCCCUGGAAGAGCCACUCAGGCGCAGGUUGUGAAGACGCAGGGGAAAAAUGCACAGCGCCCACCUCCUUGGAGCUCAGUUCUCAUUGGGGCAGCAGGACAUGUGUAGAAAACAUCAUACUGAGGUAACAGGAGCCCACAGGUCGCCUUUACAGAGCAUGUCCUAGGAGCUGGGCCUGAGGCAUCAGGGUCUUUUCCAAUGAGUUGGCUCUUCACAUCAGGUGGCCCAAGUAUUGGAGCUUCAGCUUCAGCAUCAGUCCUUCCAAUGAAGCACCACGAUUCGAAAGCAUCAGUUCUUCAGUGCUCAGUCUUCCUUAUGGUCCACCUCUCACAUGUGUACAUGACUCCUGGAAAAACCACGGCUGUGACCAUAUGGACCUCUGUCAGCAAGGAGAUGUCUCUGUUUUUUAAUAUGUUGUCUAGGU